rnacentral:rRNA from 1 species
AGAUUGAACGCUGGCGGAAUGCUUUACACAUGCAAGUCGAACGGCAGCACGGGGGCAACCCUGGUGGCGAGUGGCGAACGGGUGAGUAAUACGUCGGAACGUGCCCAUGUCGUGGGGAUAACGUAGCGAAAGCUACGCUAAUACCGCAUACGAUCUACGGAUGAAAGCGGGGAUCG